GGCCGACUGGCGCAAUGGUAGCGCUUCAGACUUCUAUGGCUCAUUCUCGAAUUGUCAUUAUCUGGAGGUUGUGGGUUCGAGCCCCACGUUGGUCA
rnacentral:tRNA from 1 species